CCUACGGGAGGCAGCAGUGGGGAAUUUUGCGCAAUGCUCGUAAGAGUGACGCAGCGACGCCGCGUGAAUGACGAAGGCCUUCGGGUCGUAAAGUUCUUUCGACAGGGAAGAAAAUGCCUAUAAGUAACUGUGUAUGUAUUGACGGUACCUGUAUAAGCAGCCCCGGCUAACUCCGUGCCAGCAGCCGCGGUAAUACGGAGGGGGCGAGCGUUGUUCGGAGUGACUGGGCGUAAAGAGCACGUAGGCGGUGUUGUAAGUCAUUAGUCAAAGACUAGAGCUCAACUUUAGUAAGGCUAGUGAUACUAUAAUACGAGAGUAUCAGAGAGGAUUGCAGAAUUCCUGGGGUAGCGGGGAAAUGCGUAGAUAUCAGGAGGAAUACCGUUAGCGAAGGCGGCAAUCUGGCUGGAAACUGACGCUGAGGUGCGAAAGCGUGGGUAGCAAACAGGAUUAGAUACCCUAGUAGUC
rnacentral:rRNA from 1 species